rnacentral:rRNA from 1 species
UACGUAGGUGGCAAGCGUUGUCCGGAUUUACUGGGCGUAAAGAGCGCGCAGGCGGUCGUUCAAGUCGAGUGUGAAAGCCCCCGGCUCAACUGGGGAGGGUCACUCGAUACUGAUCGACUCGAAGGCAGGAGAGGGAAGCGGAAUUCCCGGUGUAGUGGUGAAAUGCGUAGAUAUCGGGGAGGAACACCAGUGGCGAAGGCGGCUUUCUGGCCUGCUCUUGACGCUGAGGCGCGAAAGCUAGGGUAGCAAACGGG